CAUUAGCAUGUUUUGUCAUUUUCAUUUUGAAAGUAACGCCACAUUGACUUGGUUUUCGUGGGAUGUUUACUUCUCGUUGAGCCAUUAAGAUUAGAGAACAGAUUUAUCAGUUUCUGUUGGGAACAAGAGAUGUCUGUAAAGCUCAGAACAAAUGAUUAGCCUUAUCCGCUGGACCAGGAUUCGAUGGGUCCAUCUUUAUCUUUCCAUUUCACUUGAUCCUGUUCUUCUGUAUUUCACGGACCAGUGUAUUUUUCCAGGCUCGGCUCUACUGUUUCCAGUCGGGUGGAACAUCGUACUGAGAUUCAAAGUCUUGUUUCAAACACUCUGAGAGGAGGAGGAGGGAAGAUCUUGGGUAAUAAAGGACAUGAAUCCAACUUUGCUUGGAUGAUGAUUGAUGAAGAGACUUCUUCAAGAGUGGCGAAGUGCUGUGGCGACAAUGAUAAACCAAAUUGACAUGAAUAAAUGGUAACUGAGGAACUGGUUUAUACUCGGCCUGAGUUGACAAGUUUUUGCCGUUUGCUUUGUGGUGGUUUUGUAUGGGAAACUGGCCACCUUGUGUUGCUUGUCUUCUUAAAACAAUAUUUUUGUAAGCUAUCCUCAACCCAAAAGGGAGGAUUUUAUAGGAAAUGGGGCAUUCAGCACAGGCAAUACCGGGACAUUUGAGAAAUGCUGGUUGUGCCUGGUUAGCUGAUCUGGGGUGGUUUUUGUUUACAUGCGUUUGUAUCGUUCUGAGCCUUUAAUAUCAGGUAUUGGCACUUUGGGUUGUGAAAAGCUCUGAGAUAUCUGAAGCUCUGCCACAUAAAUGAUGAGGGGAAAAUCGCUGUGGAAGUCAAUCAGCAAAAUUAGACACUCGAAAAGCUGUCGAUAAAGUGUUUACAUGAUAAAUGAACGUGAAUGUUGUUUUGAUUCAAGCUGUGAAAGCCCCGUGAGGCUGGAUUGUCAAUUUUGAGCCGUCGUGAAAGCACAGGCGGAGCAGUUUCGGGCGAUCUUGACCAGCCACGUGAACUUAAAGAAGAAAGGUGUUGAAAUGUUUUUUUUUUUCUUUAUAAAUGUAGUGGAACAUCACACCAGACAUUUUACUGAUAUGAGUUAUGCAUCUUGACAAGUCUCCAGCCUUUUCCAGCAGGGACUUGGACCAAAGUAAAUUAUGAUACUGUUGUUUCUGUGGCAUUUUCUAGCUUUAUUUCUCGAAAAUGUCAUGGAUGAUGGUUGACGUUAUGGAAUAGUAAGAGCAAGAAACUGCGUGUGGUUAAGAAAUGGAGACAGAAGAAUGGUGGGAAACGUGACUAAGCUGCUUCUGUUAUCUACUACAUAUCUACUUUUCUGGAUUGUUUUUGUUCCAGUUGUUUAUUUCACACUACAUCUCUUUCUCUCUCUGACUCCCUUUUUUCGUGAACGAUAAUGAAAUUGAUGAAAUUGUCCAUGACAUUUAUUUCAUGGAUGUUGUUUUUGUUUUUUUUUAUUUUUUAGCCCCUAACUGCAGUUAUGUUAAAUGUCAUUUGUGUUGCUGGUUUGUCCUUUUUUUAUUUUUCCUUUACAGUUAUUGUUAUGUUCAGUCUUUUCAUUGAAAUUCUCUAUAUUUUUGCAUACUUUGUACUAUUCGGCUUCUCUGUCUUUAUAUUUACAGUGCGUAUGAUAUCAUACUGUACACACAUGUGAUAUUGACAGAUGCACGUGAUAUUUCUUUGGCUGUUUGGACUUGUAUUACAACGGACUAAUACAGACUUGUAGUGAGUUGUUUAAGAAAUGAAUUUGCUUGUGUGUGUGCGUGUCUCACUCUGUGUGAUCUCCUCCCUGUCUGCUCCCACGCCGGCUGGGACCCAUGACCCAGGGGAGCGCUAUGACCUUUGAGCUGGGAGAUGUGCUCCUGGGUUCCAGACAGGACAAAACUAAUAAAAACUUUUGGUUGUAUGUUUUUUAAUCCA
ensembl:lncRNA